GAUGAACGCUGGCGGCGUGCCUAAUACAUGCAAGUCGAGCGAACAGAUGAGGAGCUUGCUCCUCUGACGUUAGCGGCGGACGGGUGAGUAACACGUGGAUAACCUACCUAUAAGACUGGGAUAACUUCGGGAAACCGGAGCUAAUACCGGAUAAUAUAUUGAACCGCAUGGUUCAAUAGUGAAAGACGGUUUUGCUGUCCCUUAUAGAUGGUUCCGCGCCGCAUUAGCUAGUUGGUAAGGUAACGGCUUACCAAGGCAACGAUGCGUAGCCGACCUGAGAGGGUGAUCGGCCACACUGGAACUGAGACACGGUCCAGACUCCUACGGGAGGCAGCAGUAGGGAAUCUUCCGCAAUGGGCGAAAGCCUGACGGAGCAACGCCGCGUGAGUGAUGAAGGUCUUCGGAUCGUAAAACUCUGUUAUUAGGGAAGAACAAAUGUGUAAGUAACUAUGCACGUCUUGACGGUACCUAAUCAGAAAGCCACGGCUAACUACGUG
rnacentral:rRNA from 1 species